UCCAGGGUAGCCUAGUGGACAUGGCAUCAGCCCGCUAAGCGGAACACUGUGGGUUCGAUUCCCAUCCCUGGAC
rnacentral:tRNA from 1 species